UCAGAUUGAACGCUGGCGGCAGGCCUAACACAUGCAAGUCGAGCGGCAGCACGGGAAGCUUGCUUCCUGGUGGCGAGCGGCGGACGGGUGAGUAAUGCAUAGAAAUCUGCCCGGUAGUGGGGGAUAACCUGGGGAAACCCAGGCUAAUACCGCAUACGUCCUACGGGAGAAAGCAGGGGAUCUUCGGACCUUGCGCUAUCGGAUGAGUCUAUGUCGGAUUAGCUUGUUGGUGAGGUAAAGGCUCACCAAGGCGACGAUCCGUAGCUGGUCUGAGAGGAUGAUCAGCCACAUCGGGACUGAGACACGGCCCGAACUCCUACGGGAGGCAGCAGUGGGGAAUAUUGGACAAUGGGCGCAAGCCUGAUCCAGCCAUGCCGCGUGUGUGAAGAAGGCCUUCGGGUUGUAAAGCACUUUCAGUGGGGAAGAAAGCCUUGGGGCCAAUACCCUCGAGGAAGGACAUCACCCACAGAAGAAGCACCGGCUAACUCCGUGCCAGCAGCCGCGGUAAUACGGAGGGUGCGAGCGUUAAUCGGAAUUACUGGGCGUAAAGCGCGCGUAGGCGGUCUGAUAAGCCGGUUGUGAAAGCCCCGGGCUCAACCUGGGAACGGCAUCCGGAACUGUCAGGCUAGAGUGCAGGAGAGGAAGGUAGAAUU
rnacentral:rRNA from 1 species